UACGUAGGGGGCAAGCGUUGUCCGGAUUUAUUGGGCGUAAAGAGCUCGUAGGUGGUUCGGUAAGUCGGAUGUGAAAUCUCCAGGCUCAACCUGGAGGGGUCAUUCGAUACUGCCGUGACUAGAGGUCGGUAGGGGAGUGUGGAAUUCCUGGUGGAGCGGUGAAAUGCGUAGAUAUCGGGAGGAACACCAGUGGCGAAGGCGACUACCUGGCCUGUUUCUUGACGCUGAGGCGCGAAAGCUAGGGGAGCAAACGGG
rnacentral:rRNA from 1 species